GCAGUGACGAAGAAAUGGAGAACAAGAGACUCUGUUUCUCUGCCUUUGCGUGUCCUCAGUGUAAGCAUGCCAUGAAACUGUUCCCUGUGAGUGAUGGAGUCAUUGGAACGUGUCAGAACCGCGAAUGUAACUUGGAGAAAAACAUGCUGGAUGAGUGCAGACUGGCGCGCGAGGCAGAGUUGCUCUUUAUUAAGGGAGUGCGGUUGUUAGAAAGAGUUGGAGUCAAGGAGGCCCUUGACGUGUUCCAUGAAUGUUUGCGGCGGCGGAAAAUUCUUCUUCAUGCGUAUAACAAGGACCUGGCUGAAACACACGAUGCCAUUGCAAGGUGUUAUGCCAUGAAUGGCGACUUCAAGAAAGCUUCUCAUUACUGUUCUCGCAGCUGUGAAGCGGUGGAAAAAGCUUUCGGUUCAUCAAGCGUGGAGUACGCACACGAACUUCACAAGCUCUCGCAGCUGUUGUUCAACGACAGACAAGUCAAAAAAGCACUCUCUACAAUCGACAAAGCCACUAGUCUUUUGUCACGCCAUUAUGGACGGAGCAAUCCAGACGUGAAGGAACUGAGUGAGAUGAAACGCUGCCUUAUUGCUGUUGGCGGUCAUUCCAGAAACAACAGCACGUGACGGUCACGCAAGGGUUAUUAGGCUUUAAAGUAUACUUGUCGGACAUUUCUAGAAUAAAAAGUUUUUUUUCGUCUUUUGUUUCCGGCUUAGUUAGACGUUUGUGCUACUCGGGUGAUACGAUUGUGUGACGAGAGGUGCAAAUCAAAUUCACUUGAAUCACACAAUCUUCCAGGACCCAAGUUAUCAGUUAGAUGGAAGGAAAAGAAAGAAAAAAGAAAUUAAAAAUGGACGGGUUUACAUGAAAGAAUUUUGUUACGAUUUUGUGAAAGUAUCUUUUAUACUAAAAGUUUGGUGUACAAUUUGGUGUUGAGUUAUUUAUGUGUCAACUCCUGUAAGGGAGAAAGUGUCUUUAAAAAGAACGCGUUACUUGUUUUGUUUAAAAAAAACAGCAAGAAAUGGUAGACUAUAGAGUAUGACGUAAAUCAGAGAGAUUCCAAGAAAUACUAUAUACAAGUAGAGCAAAAAGUAAAGAACAUUGAAGAACUAGAAUUCAUACUGGAAACGAGGUAGAAUUUAUUGUGUUGUUUAAAAGAAAACUACUAAUGUCAUUGUUUAGAACAAGGAUUUGAGAUGAAAAAUGCCUACAAUGCUUUAUUCACUCUAAACACUUAAAACACAUUUACAUAGAAAGUGACAAAAACUACAAUAACUUAAGAAAUAGAUAUGUUUAAAGUUGAGCCAGGAGGAUGAAUGAACCUUGCGUUUCUACUUCCUGUUUCUCUACAUGUGCAGAACACAGUUCGCGCUCUUUCUUUAAGACUGCGAGGGCCUCUUUCCUUCUAGAAUACUCGACUUUUCUUACUGAACGAGGUGAUUGAAUUAAAGUUCAAAACGCUUUAACAUCAUGUUGUUGUUGUUGAUGAUGUCUUUAUCAGGUCAGGCUUGUCCAGUGUAACCUUCAUUUUGCCUCGUAAAACUACACAUGAGAAACUAAGGGGUGACGAAGCACCCUUAACCUUUUACAACAAUUUUGGCUCGUCAUAUCCAAUUAGAGACUCAAAACAUUCUUAAAAUGAGUGUAUCUAAUUGUCGAGAGUCGAGGGUAACAUGUCGAGGGUCGAGGGUAACAAAAAAUAUAUUAAAAUAAAGUGAAAAAUAAAAAAUAAAAAUAUAGUAUAUAGUAAUGAAAUCCACUACUCUACAGGUGUUGCAUAAGAUAUCUCACUUCAGCAUAACGGGAUCUUCCUAAUUUGCUAUUCCAAAAAAUCAAGACCGUCUAUUUACAAAUAUGUACUUUUUCAACAAAAGAUUUAAAAACCAUAACUGGCGAAAGGUUAUAGCUUGGCAGGUGGUUUGUUUCACAGCUGCUAACUCAAGCAUGGUGGAUAUUUUUGCUUGAACGUGUAAACUUACUGAGCGUAAAAUUUGAAGUAAUACCAGGGGAAUGUAGGAGGAAUAUUCUCACAGCGCUUCUAACACUACAUAGAAUAGUCCAAUGAGGCAUUCAUUAACAGAGAAUUCAGUGUUCAGCGCUGUUAUCUUCCCUGACGGCUGGAAGGUAGUAUAUGUGCAGUUUUGUGGCGAUGAACUGAGAACACAUCCUUCGUUUCACCUGAUGUAAUAACAGUUCAUGAAGCGUUUAACAUUUUAAUUUCAUCUAGCUACCCGGCGUCUCUACCAGACGACUUCAAUACCUUUGCUGUUAUAGCAUCUAGCGGUUAAGAAGCUCCAAUUUUCCCCUUGUUAGGUCAUCUAUUAUUUCGUUCAUCCGGACACACUAAGAUGGAAGAAUGAAAUAAGGCCCUGAAGAAAAGUUUCUAGACUUUUUAUCGCUAAAAACUUGAAACUAUUCAGUAAGUACACGUGGUACCCCUUCAGAGUUUACUGAACCCUUAAUAAUCAGGUCAGCAACAUGUUCGGAGGCCGGAGUUUAAACCCUUUGUUGUGUCACGUUACCUCAUUCCUGUUCUGCAAUGCGAUUGGCUGAGACAAGGAAAUCGCAAUUUACGCGCUUUUUCAAGUGGUUCAAAGAUCUCUUUGCGCUUCUGAAAUUAGCCAACUAAAAAAAGGUGACACAAACAAAUUUUUAAAGCAUUAACUAUCGGAACACUGAAAUGGACGCUGGAAGGCUAAACUUUAUGUAAAACUGAGGAUAUUUUUAAGACCUUCAAGAGACAGCGAAAAGUAUACGAAAAUUGUUUGGACAGUUCUUACGAUCUGCGGGUGAAGUGGAAGCUAGCAAAGUCAAGUGGUCGACAGGAAGAGUUAUCCACUACGUUCUCCGUAUAUAAGCACGUGCGCCGAUGAUGAUAAAUAGUUUUGGCAAUCAAACACAGCUUUCCUCAAUCCGACUGCAAGUGUUUGUCUAAACAAUCCGGCGAACCUGGCAAACCAGCAGCCGUUUUUAAACGUCAUUGUAUGUAAACGUGCGUCCGUUUUGACAAGUGUAUUUGCCCACCAGUCAAGAAACGGAAACAAACCAGUUGACAGACCAGUCCAUGUGCUCUACCUUUUAUCCACUGGUACGCAAACUCCGCCCAAUUAUUGUUUCUUCCGUUCUCCAUUUGCACGUGUUUUUUCAAAAGAGUUUUUAACGUUGGCCCUGUUCUGGAACAAGCCGUCUUGGGCAGAUCAUGUGAUCAAAGUUUCAUCAUAGAUGGAGCCCCAGGUCAUGCCGCCAAACCAAGAAUAGAAUGCCUUUUCACUGUGUAGUUUGUACAGCCAGAUACCUUGGACUCACACGAGGACUGCUAAGAUGGCGUUGGACAAUGAUUACAAUGAUUGUGCUCUACUUUGUCAACUUACUCCAUCCUUUACUGCAAGAAGAAAUGCUGGCCUCCAUUGAAAGAGAUCUUGAAGAACAAGGCCUGCCCACUGAGACUGUUACCCUCAAGCAAAAGAUAAAACCGCCCAUUAAGACUUGGCAACACCAAGCACCCAACUUGCUGAGCCCGCAUGUCAUGGAAAGCGGUUCGCUAUCCCUCCGUGGUUGGUGGAUGUCACACGUGAAAUGGGAAGUGACUGAAAUGAAACGUAAAUCAAAACCCAAUGUCAGACAGGCAAGUAAAUAGUUAAAUUCCUUCAAGUAAAUGAAAGAAGAAUGAAAAUAGUAUCGCGCAAAGCCAGUAUUUGAUACUGAAGUUUCCUGACGACCGCAUUUGACUUGUGCAAAUACUGUUCCCUGAAUGGUUAAAGAGUAAUCGCGUGACAGAUAAGAUAGUGGCUUGUCGAGUCAUCAAAGUCUCUUAAAAUAAUCAGAGACCCACGUUUGAUCCGCUCGGAGCCCUUGGAACAAACACAACAAGCAGUGCUGCUGUACUGUUUUGAUAUGGAAUCCAUGGGCACAACGCCGAAUUUACUUGUGAGUCCGGGUUUUAGCGAUGAUAUAACCAUGCAAUAACUUGGAAUGUGGCAAAAUGUUUCAAUUUUCCCUUGCAGGUCUUCAGCGUGGCCUGCACUGUGCAUAGGAUAGUGGAGACAUACCAAUAUCUCUCUUUGAACAGGAGUAUCCCGAUAAAAGGAAUCAAGUUCCAAGCCAGUUCUGCCUCAUGGAAGAUGGAGCGACCUACAGUCAGCUUGCUGAGGAGCUACGAACCGUUUUAUGGCGCUCGAAUAUUUGUGGUGCUAUCAAGUGGAAAAAGAAAGCUACUCAAGCUGGAUUUUUCAGCAGAAUCUGGAAAAGUUAUGAACAGGAAAACAGAAUUUAUCUCACCUCGAGGAGAACAAAUCACCAGUGUCACGGUUAUGUUGGGUUGCUUUGGAUAUGAGGGAUAUGUCACCUUCACUGACCUUGCGGUUAAACCUAUAUAUGAUUCCAGACUGCUGAAAAACCACAGUAUCGAGCCAAAGCAACUCUUAGAGCCGUGCCAAGCACUAAGCAAGAGACCACUUGUUGAGUCUGGAGAUUUCCUCACUGAAAUACUCUAUUCAGCGUGUUCACCAACAGAUUCUGACGCAGUCACUUUGGUGACACAGCUAACGUUCAAUAGGAUAAACAUGUUGAAGAGGAAUUUAAGAUUCUGGACUGGUCCUCUGUCAAUAGUAGUUUACGUUCAUUUAGAAGACGCUAACGAUAUUGAUUUCAAAAAGAGAGAGGUACAGAUGCGAUUACCGUCACCAAUAUUCAGCAAGUUUUCCACGGUCUCAGUUAUGGUCAUAUAUGGAAAGAAGAUAGGUCCACAGUAUCCAAUCAAUCGCCUCAGAAACAUUGCAGUCAAAAAUGUUAAAACGCAAUAUAUUUUCAUGAUCGAUGUGGAUUUCGUUCCUUCGCCAGAAUUAGAAACUAUUGCAAGAAAUCAGAUUCUUAAGUACAAUGAGACAAGAAAUGGUACCAAUAACAAGGUUGCAUUUGUCGUGCCUGCCUUUGAUGGCGCAAGAAAUGUGAACUCUAGAGAUCUUCCACAGACGAAGGAGGAACUUGUUAAAAUGGUGAAAAGAAAGAAGAAAUUGGCGCCAUUUAGACAAAUCGAGUCUCCUUUGUCUCAUAGCUCCACAAACUAUACCAAGUGGUACCACAUCAAUGAGUCAUAUGAAGUCAGCCGUUAUCAGGAUAAAUACGAACCUUACUUAAUUUUAAGAUUGACUCCUGAACUUCCGCUGUACGACGAAAGGUUUACUGGUUACGGAAUGAACAAGAUUUCUCACGUCAUAGAACUCGCACUACUGAGGCAAGUCACCCUUAGCCUCGAUUUCAUCGUUUUUUCUGUGCACGCAUAAUCGUUAGACGCAUUCGAGAGCUUUAAAACGUUGUCUCAGCGGUAUACAGUGCGCUUAGAUUCACUAUGGGGAAUUCCUUAUCCAGCACAGCUGCAGGUCGAACUCUUCACAAACUUGUCCUUUUAGCUAUAGACAAACACCAUUUCCACGAAUAAACAGCUUCGUUCCCAGGGCUUUCCCUUCCCAAUCUCUAACGGAGAAGCCCUGGGAACGAGGUUGAUGAGGGUAAGGGAGGCGAAAAACACUCUCCCUCCCCCUCUUCCCCGUUUAAUACCUGUUUAAAAAGGUUAUGAAUACACAAAGGGUUAAUCGACAAUUUCCCUCCGACCGACCUCACACUAAUUGAUCAAGCAGAAAUAUUUUCCUAUCAUUAACGUGUAUAUUUUGAUUUCUCUCAGGUACAAAUUCAUAGUGCUGCCUAAUGUUUGGAUUGUUCAUCGUUACCAUACAUUGUCACCCCUCUCAUUCGCUCAUUUGACGGAUCCAGACAGCAGGUUUGCAAAUCGACUUCAGCGCUUUGAGUUUAUCAGUGAUUUAUACAACAAACACAAGAUCGGUCACUGCAAGGGUGCCAAGAACCAGUAGCUUAAGACUGAAACAAAUUUGCUGACACUUAAAACUGAACAUUGACGAGAAAUUUUCCUGAUGGUGGAUUUUUCAAGCAAGGAGAGUGACGUAGAAGAAUCCAUUCAAAGACAGACACGCCCUGUAUAGACAAAUAUACAACGGCAUGAUUCACACUUAGAUGUUGGUCAUCAUUCCACCGACAGAUGGAUGAAGUUUAAACGCAGAUUGCCCACCGAACACUAAAAAAUGACCUUCUUUAUAAUCUUUCUCUAACUAUUAAUGGCUGAGGAAGGUAGCAAUCCAAGGACAUGCAAAAUUCGACAAGCUAAAAACUCCUGACCCAUUAUGGAUUAAGAUUGCUAACCAAGCUACACAUAUCAUUUGACACCAGCUCCUUUCUUGAACUAGCAAAUUCGAAGUAUUUUGUAACUCUGACGACGUCCCACUGGUCGUUCCAUAUUCAUUUAUAUGGUCUGUUCACAGACGUUUAUUUUUUGCUAUGAGCUAUUUAUCAUCUUGCCCAACCCCCUUGCGUUUUGGCUCAUUCAUAUCCCACGCGCCGGGUUAAUAUUUUGCUAAGCUUGCGAUCACGACGAUAUCCUGUCAACAAGCUCCGGCUGGAAUUCGAAGGGCCAAAAAGGGGGAAGUGGCCGAGCGGAGAACGGGGUGGGGGUUAAGGCGUCUCUCCUCUCUCUCUGCUCCUGUCUCUUCUGUCCUUUUUCUUCCUACUUUCUCUUCGCCCCAUCCUCGACUCGAGAACCUGUUUACAGGCUAUCAGUACGACGAACUCAAGGGUCUGCGGACAGACUAGCACUUAUAUGACCACAAUCUCGUGUUCACUUGUUGCGAAAAAAUUGAGUGCCAACGAAAUUGAAAUGACCUGUACCUUGAACAAGGAAAUAGUUAUAUUUUUGUGCUUUGCUGUAUACGCUGGGAGAACAAAUUCCCCCCAAGCACAACCGCAUUACCCUUACCACCUUGACUUGCUUUAUAAAGUCUGUUUGCUUUAUAAAGUAAGGAUAUUUACUUGUCCAGAGUUUGUUAAUCUGUAUUUUGUCUUCGUACAGGCGCGGAUCUGAUACCGAAUUCCACCGUUUUACGGAAAUUGGUCAGAUGUUUCAAAAUGACUCGGAUAACCCCUUAAGGAGACUUCAGGGAUAACAAAUUCAGAACAUUUCCGGUUCAUAAGAGAGCAUGGCCCUGGACCAUGGGCUCCUUCCCUGGACCACUCUAGAACGCACUCGUUGUUUCGAAAUCAGUCACCAUUAAUCCUAGAUCCGCGCCAGUGAUGCAUAAAUGUUUGCAGUUCGAAUAUAAGACAUCUUUAAAACAGAUAAAGUUGAGACACAUCUCCAAAUAAUAUUAUAAAAAAAUAUCGAGUUACACAAGUGCACGUAAUUGCUUCUGCCGAUGAACGUGUCAAAUAUUUAGCCAGGCUAUUCCUGUACAAUCAAAGUUGCCAUAUUUGAUCUACAUGUAUUGACAAUACGCCAAAGCAAAACUCUCCUUGAGUAUUCUAGUAAUAUGCAAUUGUGAGCCGGAUUCUUUAACAAUUAUUCCUCGAGCGCUCGUUGGAUAUGAGAUGGUAGAUAGCCAA